CGCCUUUCUGCGACUGAGGCUAAGUGUAAUUCCUCGUCUACCUACGUUCAUCCGUAGGUGAGGAUUAUUAUUUGAAUACUUGCCCCCUCCUUUUGCUCGCCUUUCCGCGAUAGGGGCUGAUUGUGACUCCUCGUCUACCCGCGUUCAUCCGUGGGUGAGGACUAUUAUUUGAAUACUUGCCCCCUCCUUUUGCUCGCCUUUCCGCGAUAGGGGCUGAUUGUGACUCCUCG
rnacentral:lncRNA from 1 species